GAAAUUGAAAAGCCAUCAAACAAAUAGUUUAAGUACCUCUCAAAAGCAAAAUUAAGCUAAUUAUAAGAGAUUAAGCGGUUGUUUGAUUAUCAAGAUGACUUUCCCAAAAAAUAUGAAGCCAAUGUUAUUUGUGCUACUGCUCGUUAUCAUGGCAUCUAAUUUUGCAUCAGGGGAGCAGCAUUGGUGCACCAUGCAAGGUUACCCAUGUGGUAAAGGUUUAAGUCCAUGUUGCGGCGAAAUGUUUUGUAAUGCGGCAGUUAUUGGUACUUGUUGUACUCGUGGUUUUAUAUGGCAUUCAUGCGGUCACUAGUCAAUGAAUCAAACUUAUGGCUAGAUGGAUGAAUGAAGGUGGUGUGUGUUUGUAUUGAUUUCUUGUUUUUCUGAUGCUUUCUUGUAUUAUUGUCAUUCGUUAAUAACGUACGUACCCUAUGUGUGUACUCGUAUCAUGUAUUUCUGUUUCUUAUCAAUGGUAAUGUUUGUACAACCCAUGACACAAUGGGCCUUUCUUUUGAA